GGGGACCCCCACCCCAUUGAUUUGGGGUCUCCCACCCCAUUGAUUUGAGGACCCCCACCCCAUUUGGGAACCCCCACCCCAUUGAUUUGGGGGACUCCCACCCCAUUGAUUUGGAGACCCCCACCCCAUUGAUUUGGGGUCUCCCACCCCACUGAUUUGGGGGCCCCCACCCCAUUGAUCUGGGGAUACCCACCCCAUUGAUUUGGGGUCUCCCACCCCAUUAUUUGGGGACCCCCGCCCCACUGAUUUGGGGACCACCACCCCAUUGAUUUGGGGACCCCCGCCCCAUUUGGGAACCCCCACCCCAUUGAUUUGGUGACCCUCACCCCAUUGAUUUGGGGUCUUCCACCCCAUUGAUUUGGGGUCUCUCACCCCAUUGAUUUGGGGACCACCACCCCAUUUGGGAACUUCCCACCCCAUUGAUUUGAGGACCCCCACCCCAUUGAUUUGGGGAUCCCCCCCCAUUGAUUUGGGGUCUCCCACCCCACUGAUUUGGGGGACCCCCACCCCAUUGAUUUGGGACCCCCACCCCGUAUUCUGGGGUUCCCAACCCAAUUUCCCCCCACCCCACAUUUUGGGACCCCCACUCCAAAUUCCCUCCACCCCACAUUUUGGGACUCCCCCCCAUAUUUUUCAACCCCCACCCCACAUUUUGGGACCCCCACCCUAUAUUUUGGGACCCCCACCCCAUAUUCUGGGACCCCCACCCCACAUUUUGGGAUCCCCACCCCCUAAUUCCUCCCCUCCCCCCCCCAUUCCAGGUUCUCUUUGCAUCUCGGCCUUCUCCCCCCUCUCCCUCUCCUCCGAAUUGGAGCUCAACGCCACCGAGCUGUGCCGCAAACAGGCGGCGCCCGAUUUCAGCCCUUAUUACUACGCCUACCGGGUGAACAACAGCUUCCUCUGCAUCACCGACUGCAGCCCCGGCUUCCCCAGCGCCAUCGACUGCCACAGCGGGCUCUGCAGGGUGACAACCCAGGGGCCGCGCUGUUUGUGAGUGCCUCCACGCAGCCCAAAGCCCCUCGCUGGGGACACAAAUCCCAACCCCACCACCAAAAAUCCCGAUAGUUGGGCCCAAAUCCCACCCCUCUGAAAGCGAAAUCCCGAUAGGUGAACCUAAAUCCCACCCCUCCACCAAAAAUCCCGAUAGUUGGGCCCAAAUCUCAAACCUCUGAAACCCAAAUCCCGAUAGGUGAACCUAAAUCCCACCCCUCCACCAAAAAUCCUGAUAGUUGGACCCAAAUCUCAAACCUCCGAAACCCAAAUCCCGAUAGGUGAACCCAAAUCCCAACCCUCCACCAAAAAUCCCGAUAGUUGGGUCCAAAUCCCACCCCUCUGAAAGCGAAAUCCCGAUAGGUGAACCCAAAUCCCAACCCUUGAUCAAAAAUUCCAAUAGCUGGACCCCAAAUCCCACCCCUCCACCAAAAAUCCCGAUAGGUGAACCCAAAUCCCAAACCUCCACCAAAAAUCCCAAUAGUUGGGCCCAAAUCCCAACCCUCUGAAAGCGAAAUCCCAAUAGUUGAAUCCAAAUCUCAACCCUUGAUCAAAAAUUCCAAUAGCUG
rnacentral:lncRNA from 1 species